GUGGGGAAUUUUGGACAAUGGGCGAAAGCCUGAUCCAGCCAUGCCGCGUGCAGGAUGAAGGCCUUCGGGUUGUAAACUGCUUUUGUACGGAACGAAAAGACUCCUUCUAAUAAAGGGGGUCCAUGACGGUACCGUAAGAAUAAGCACCGGCUAACUACGUGCCAGCAGCCGCGGUAAUACGUAGGGUGCAAGCGUUAAUCGGAAUUCAUGGGCGUAAAGCGUGCGCAGGCGGUUAUAUAAGACAGAUGUGAAAUCCCCGGGCUCAACCUGGGAACUGCAUUUGUGACUGUAUAGCUAGAGUACGGUAGAGGGGGAUGGAAUUCCGCGUGUAGCAGUGAAAUGCGUAGAUAUGCGGAGGAACACCGAUGGCGAAGGCAAUCCCCUGGACCUGUACUGACGCUCAUGCACGAAAGCGUGGGGAGCAAACAGGAUUAGAUACCCUGGUAGUCC
rnacentral:rRNA from 1 species